UACGUAGGUGGCAAGCGUUGUCCGGAUUUAUUGGGUUUAAAGGGCGCGUAGGCGGCGUGUCAAGUCAGGCGUGAAAGCCCCGGGCUCAACCUGGGAACCGCGCUUGAGACUGGCAUGCUCGAGUUCGGGAGAGGAUGGUGGAAUUCCCAGUGUAGAGGUGAAAUUCGUAGAUAUUGGGAAGAACACCGAUGGCGAAGGCAGCCAUCUGGACCGACACUGACGCUGAGGCGCGAAAGCGUGGGGAGCAAACAGG
rnacentral:rRNA from 1 species